AAGCUAUGGGGUUACGUGGCAAGUGUCGUCAAUUGGACGAACACAUAAAUGGCAUCCGGUACGUUUCCCUCCCAACGUGUCACUUCGCUAAGUUUGUGUGGGCUUUCCUCCUUCCCAAUUUGGUUAGUUGUAAAUAUGUUAGGCACGAUGCGCCAUUUGAAUUGUAUAAGGGUUGUUAUGUAUGAACCCGAUUGACUGACCAGUGUAUGGCCUUACGAACGUUUGUAUGGACUGUGAGCCAGGGAUAAUGUAAUAUAUUUGAAUUUGUUAUAAAUAUUUGAUUAUGGAAUCCCUUGGCUUUGAGUUAUAUGG
rnacentral:lncRNA from 1 species